UUCCCCCUCUGCAGUACUGAUGGAGAGGCUGGCUGAUCCUGAAAUCUUACGGCUGAAUUGUGUUUUUAGAUUUAAAGCAUCAGGAGGACUUCCUUUGAUGCAUGUGAGGAUUUCAGACCAGAAGAUGAAAGAUGUGCUGUGUUUGAUUAACAGUGUACCUUUGCCACAGAAAUCAUCAACUCAAUCUCCAGAGAGACAGGUAUCGUCAGUUCCUGUUGCUUCAAGUGGGACAAAAGUUCUCCUUGGUACUUCAUUAUUGCUGAGUGAAAUGGAUUCAGAGUCUGAUGAUGAGUAUUUCGACGCUGAAGGCGGUGCCUCCCAGGUGCCUAGAGGUGCGCCAGGCUCCGAACCCCGAAAGGCUGCGGAGGUUCCGAACGAGGCCCUCGUUAAUCUUCUGCUCAAGUUUGAAGUUAAAGGAGUAAUUUUGGAAUUUACUAAACAACAGAAAGAAGAAGAUACAAUUCUAGUAUUUAAUGUUACUCAGUUAGGAACAGAGGCCACAGUGAGAACUUUCGACCUAACUGUGGUGUCUAAUUUAAAGAAGAUCAGCUUGGAUUACCAUGAAAUUCAAGGCUGAUAAGAGUGGACCUAGUUUUCAAACCACUUUUGAAAAAACUGAACAGACAUUUAAGGUAAGAAAUUCUAUUAAAGCAUAUAUCCUAUUGAAAAUAAUUAUUAAUGGAAAUCUUUAGUAUUUUGGGG
rnacentral:lncRNA from 1 species